rnacentral:tRNA from 1 species
GAGCUCUUAUCGGUAGAACGUGGGUCUCCAAAACCCGAUGUCCUCAGUUCAAAUCCUACAGAGCUCC